rnacentral:sRNA from 1 species
CUCCAGUACCCGGGAAGAGAUGGAAGAACUUAAGAAAAGGAUGAAAGAAGCUCCCCAGACAUGCAAACUUCCAGGACAGCCAACUAUUGAAGGCUAUCUCUAUACACAAGAGAAAUGGGCUUUAGGAAUAUCCUGGGUGAAAUACUAUUGCCAGUAUGAGAAAGAGACCAAAACACUCACCAUGACGCCUAUGGAGCAGAAGCCAGGUGCUAAGCAGGGGCCCUUGGACUUAACACUGAAGUACUGUGUGAGAAGGAAGACGGAGUCUAUCGACAAGAGGUUCUGUUUUGACAUAGAAACUAAUGAAAGGCCAGGAACCAUCACUCUGCAGGCCCUUUCAGAAGCUAACAGAAGGCUAUGGAUGGAAGCCAUGGAUGGGAAAGAACCUAUCUACCACAGCCCUAUAACAAAACAGCAAGAAAUGGAGCUAAAUGAAGUGGGCUUCAAGUUUGUCAGGAAGUGCAUCAAUAUUAUUGAGACCAAAGGGAUCAAGACAGAAGGGUUGUACCGCACUGUGGGCAGCAAUAUUCAGGUUCAGAAGCUGCUGAAUGCCUUUUUUGGUAACAAUUUUACUUUGAUAAUUCUUAUUGGGAGUACUUUAUGUGUUACAAAGAAAUGUGACUGGAAGAGAAAGGAGACAGUGCUAAAAUGUGGUAGAAUAGUUGAAAAAAGUAUUUUCUAAAGUAAAACAUACACAUACUUGCCCACCCUGGGCAGAGUCAGUCGUACCUUGAAAA